CACCUUCUUUCAUAUAGAAUAUGUAGGAAGGGCCAUGAAACCUUCAUGUAGCCUUACCUUCAAGUAACCUCCAGCUCCCCUUCUCAACUUGGCAGCUGUCCUAAUGCAUGAUACACAUUGGUCGAGCAUUGAAGAACGGCCGACACUGCUGGCAGCCGCUGCCGAGCCUGGCCAGGCUGACGUGAUGUGACCUCGUACUUAGUGUUGAAGCUGUCUGGUCAUUCCCUCAGAGCAAUCACAGAUUCUACAUCCCACCAUGGCUCUGUGGAGUGUUCACCAACCCUAGUGCGCAAGCAGAUUUAUCUUCAUGCCACUAGUGUUUAAGCUGUCUGGUCAUUCCCUCAGAGUGAUCACAGAUUCUACAUCCCACCAUGGCUCUGUGGAGUGUUCACCAACCCUAGUGCCCAAGCAGAUUUGUCUUCAUGCAACUAGAAUGGCGCUCCCUUAAAGAUGUCAGCAUUGGCUACCAGUGUUCUUCAGUUUGGAUGGUGAUUUCAUAGUGAAGGAGUCAGGAAGCCCGAAAGUAGUGUAAAACUAGCACUCUGGUUACAAUAUGGUACACACGAUAGGGUUAACUUGUACUUAAUACAUUAAUUCCUGGUGUUCCAGAGAAUUGUGCUUUCAAUGCUUAGACAAUUUAAAGUAUUUGUUUUAGAAGUUGUGAAUAAGUGAAAAGUUCAGAUAAUUGGCAAUAGACCUGUUUCCUUACAUAUUCAAAUUUGUAUGCAUACUUUUUUAAUUACAUUUGAUGUUGCAUAGUACAACAUUACAUGUAUCAUUGCAAACAUUACCUGCAUAUUUUGUGCCUAUUUUCGACCUGGUUAGUCUAUAUCAUACAUGCAUCUUCAUCAUUAUUAUGCAAGUUAUGAACUCCAUGUAGAUUUUCACAUUUCACUUGUUUCCAAUAAUGUUCAUUCAUGUUCACAUUUGAACAAUUGCGUGUUAUUGGCGCAUGAUUGAACCAAAGAUGACAGUAAACGUAAAGUAAUGGCUUUCAAAACAGAUUGUUUUAUUAUUCAUUCAAAGCUUUAUAUUUAUUGAAGAAGUAUUAGAUGUACAAUGAAAAGUAUGUGAGACAUGGAUAUAAGUAUUUAUUUGAGUCUUUCGUUUUUGUAUACAUGUUAAGUUAAGUAUACAAGUACAUUUAACACACAAAUAUACAGUGUUAUUGCAUUGAAGAAAAAAAA